UAGAGCGUAGAGAUCGGAAUGGCGACUUACGCCUAUUUUUUGACUCUAAAGCUUGAAACCCAAAUAAUAAGCGCACCCCUGCGGUCAAACGAAGCAGGAACAGUUCUAAUGGUCGAACAAUUCGAGCACAGUUAACUUUAUAAGGGUGGCCGACCGAACCUCAACCCUAGAUCGAUUGAUCAGAAACAACCGAUAGUAACCACAGACCCCAUCUUCAACUUCUACCAACCCAAUACACAACAAUAAAUUGUAAGUACGAUAUUAUCUCAUUAAAUUAACAAUUAUGUUAUUUUGUUGUCUACAAUAUUUAUCAUUCUUUUAUCAUGAUGACAGUAUGAACUUUGUAGUAUACGAAUGUAAUAUUCCGCACAUAUGCUAUUAAUUGUGUAAAAUUGCAUGUUUCGUAGU